rnacentral:rRNA from 1 species
ACAUGUGGAGCGCUUAGAAGUGAGAAUGCCGGUGUGAGUAGCGAAAGACGGGUGAGAAUCCCGUCCACCGAUUGACUAAGGUUUCCAGAGGAAGGCUCGUCCGCUCUGGGUUAGUCGGGUCCUAAGCUGAGGCCGACAGGCGUAGGCGAUGGAUAACAGGUUGAUAUUCCUGUACCACCUAUAAUCGUUUUAAUCGAUGGGGGGACGCAGUAGGAUAGGCGAAGCGUGCGAUUGGAUUGCACGUCUAAGCAGUAAGGCUGAGUAUUAGGCAAAUCCGGUACUCGUUAAGGCUGAGCUGUGAUGGGGAGAAGACAUUGUGUCUUCGAGUCGUUGAUUUCACACUGCCGAGAAAAGCCUCUAGAUAGAAAAUAGGUGCCCGUACCGCAAACCGACACAGGUAGUCAAGAUGAGAAUUCUAAGGUGAGCGAGCGAACUCUCGUUAAGGAACUCGGCAAAAUGACCCCGUAACUUCGGGAGAAGGGGUGCUCUUUAGGGUUAACGCCCAGAAGAGCCGCAGUGAAUAGGCCCAAGCGACUGUUUAUCAAAAACACAGGUCUCUGCUAAACCGUAAGGUGAUGUAUAGGGGCUGACGCCUGCCCGGUGCUGGAAGGUUAAGAGGAGUGGUUAGCUUCUGCGAAGCUACGAAUCGAAGCCCCAGUAAACGGCGGCCGUAACUAUAACGGUCCUAAGGUAGCGAAAUUCCUUGUCGGGUAAGUUCCGACCCGCACGAAAGGCGUAACGAUUUGGGCACUGUCUCAACGAGAGACUCGGUGAAAUCAUAGUACCUGUGAAGAUGCAGGUUACCCGCGACAGGACGGAAAGACCCCGUGGAGCUUUACUGUAGCCUGAUAUUGAAAUUCGGCACAGCUUGUACAGGAUAGGUAGGAGCCUUUGAAACGUGAGCGCUAGCUUACGUGGAGGCGCUGGUGGGAUACUACCCUAGCUGUGUUGGCUUUCUA